rnacentral:rRNA from 1 species
GACGAACGCUGGCGGCGUGCUUAACACAUGCAAGUCGAACGGAAAGGCCCUGCUUUUGUGGGGUGCUCGAGUGGCGAACGGGUGAGUAACACGUGAGUAACCUGCCCUUGACUUUGGGAUAACUUCAGGAAACUGGGGCUAAUACCGGAUAGGAGCUCCUGCUGCAUGGUGGGGGUUGGAAAGUUUCGGCGGUUGGGGAUGGACUCGCGGCUUAUCAGCUUGUUGGUGGGGUAGUGGCUUACCAAGGCUUUGACGGGUAGCCGGCCUGAGAGGGUGACCGGCCACAUUGGGACUGAGAUACGGCCCAGACUGCUACGGGAGGCAGCAGUGGGGAAUAUUGCACAAUGGGCGGAAGCCUGAUGCAGCAACGCCGCGUGCGGGAUGACAGCCUUCGGGUUGUAAACCGCUUUCGCCUGUGACGAAGCGUGAGUGACGGUAAUGGGUAAAGAAGCACCGGCUAACUACGUG